rnacentral:rRNA from 1 species
UUGGUUAAGUUAGAAAGGGCGCACGGUGGAUGCCUUGGCACUAGGAGCCGAAGAAGGACGGGACUAACACCGAUAUGCUUUGGGGAGCUGUACGUAAGCGUUGAUCCAGAGAUUUCCGAAUGGGGGAACCCACUAUCUUUAGUCGGAUAGUAUCCUUACGUGAAUACAUAGCGUGAGGAAGGCAGACCCAGGGAACUGAAACAUCUAAGUACCUGGAGGAAGAGAAAGAAAAAUCGAUUUCCUGAGUAGCGGCGAGCGAAACGGAAAGAGCCCAAACCAAGAAGCUUGCUUCUUGGGGUUGUAGGACACUCUAUACGGAGUUACAAAAGAAAGUUAUAAAUGAAGCGGUCUGGAAAGGCCCGCCAAAGACGGUAACAGCCCGGUAGUUGAAAUGGCUUUCCCUCCAGAGUGGAUCCUGAGUACGGCGGAACACGUGAAAUUCCGUCGGAAUCCGGGAGGACCAUCUCCCAAGGCUAAAUACUCCCUAGUGACCGAUAGUGAACCAGUACCGUGAGGGAAAGGUGAAAAGCACCCCGGAAGGGGAGUGAAACAGUUCCUGAAACCGUGUGCCUACAAGUAGUUAGAGCCCGUUAAUGGGUGAUAGCGUGCCUUUUGUAGAAUGAACCGGCGAGUUACGAUUUGUUGCAAGGUUAAGCGGAAAAAGCGGAGCCGUAGCGAAAGCGAGUCUGAAUAGGGCGCAUAAGUAACAGGUCGUAGACCCGAAACCAGGUGAUCUACCCAUGUCCAGGAUGAAGGUAAGGUAAUACUUACUGGAGGUCCGAACCCACGCACGUUGAAAAGUGCGGGGAUGAGGUGUGGGUAGCGGAGAAAUUCCAAUCGAACUUGGAGAUAGCUGGUUCUCUCCGAAAUAGCUUUAGGGCUAGCCUCGAGGUAAAGAGUCAUGGAGGUAGAGCACUGUUUGGACUAGGGGCCCUUCUCGGGUUACCGAAUUCAGAUAAACUCCGAAUGCCAUGUACUUAUACUCGGGAGUCAGACUGCGAGUGAUAAGAUCCGUAGUCGAAAGGGAAACAGCCCAGACCACCAGUUAAGGUCCCCAAAUAUAUGUUAAGUGGAAAAGGAUGUGGGGUUGCUUAGACAACCAGGAUGUUGGCUUAGAAGCAGCCACCAUUGAAAGAGUGCGUAAUAGCUCACUGGUCGAGUGACCCCGCGCCGAAAAUGUACCGGGGCUAAACAUAUUACCGAAACUGUGGAUGAACCUCUUUAGAGGUUCGUGGUAGGAGAGCGU